UACGUAGGGUGCAAGCGUUAAUCGGAAUUACUGGGCGUAAAGCGUGCGCAGGCGGUUAUGCAAGAACGAUGUGAAAUCCCCGGGCUUAACCUGGGAACCGCAUUUGUGACUGCAUAGCUGGAGUACGGCAGAGGGGGAUGGAAUUCCGCGUGUAGCAGUGAAAUGCGUAGAUAUGCGGAGGAACACCGAUGGCGAAGGCAGUCCCCUGGGCCUGUACUGACGCUCAUGCACGAAAGCGUGGGGAGCAAACAGG
rnacentral:rRNA from 1 species